rnacentral:rRNA from 1 species
UACGUAGGGCGCAAGCGUUGUCCGGAAUUAUUGGGCGUAAAGAGCUCGUAGGCGGCUUGUCACGUCGGGUGUGAAAGCCCGGGGCUUAACCCCGGGUCUGCAUUCGAUACGGGCUGGCUGGAGUGUGGUAGGGGAGAUCGGAAUUCCUGGUGUAGCGGUGAAAUGCGCAGAUAUCGGGAGGAACACCGGUGGCGAAGGCGGUUCUCUGGGCCUUACCUGACGCUGAGGAGCGAAAGCGUGGGGAGCGAACAGG